CAGCGGUGGGCUGAAGGGCCCCUCAAGUGCCGCCAAAGUGGGAGCCCAGGCAGAGGAGGCGCCGAGAGCAAGCGAGGGCUGUGAGGACUGCCAGCACACUGUCACCUCUUACUACUUUCCCAUAAAUUCUUUGGCAUAUGAAGAAAGGGAAAGAGAGAGAAAGAAGAAAAGAAAGGGACAAAAGAGGGAAGAGAGGAAAAGAGGAAAACAUCAACACAGAAGCAGAAAGGGUCCUCUCCCCAUGGCCACCGCAGCUAGGAAUAUGCGGAGUCACACUUGA
rnacentral:lncRNA from 10 species